GCACGUACGGGGAGCCUAGACACGCGGGCCAAAUACCGGCCGCCGCGACCGCGCCGAGCCACUGGCGAGACCGACCCGUGCAAGU
rnacentral:ncRNA from 1 species